UACGUAGGGGGCAAGCGUUGUCCGGAAUCACUGGGCGUAAAGCGCGCGCAGGCGGUCAGACAGGUCCGUUGUGAAAACUCGAGGCUCAACCUCGAGAUGUCGAUGGAAACCGUCUGGCUAGAGUCCGGAAGAGGAGUGUGGAAUUCCUGGUGUAGCGGUGAAAUGCGCAGAUAUCAGGAAGAACACCUAUGGCGAAGGCAGCACUCUGGGACGGUACUGACGCUGAGAAGCGAAAGCAUGGGGAGCGAACAGG
rnacentral:rRNA from 1 species